rnacentral:rRNA from 1 species
GACCAGACUCCUACGGGAGGCAGCAGUGGGGAAUAUUGCACAAUGGGGAAAACCCUGAUGCAGCGACGCCGCGUGAGUGAAGAAGUAUUUCGGUAUGUAAAGCUCUAUCAGCAGGGAAGAUAAUGACGGUACCUGACUAAGAAGCCCCGGCUAACUACGUGCCAGCAGCCGCGGUAAUAUGUAGGGGGCAAGCGUUAUCCGGAUUUACUGGGUGUAAAGGGAGCGUAGACGGCCAAGCAAGCCAGGGGUGAAAGCCCGGGGCCCAACCCCGGGACUGCCCUUGGAACUGCAUGGCUGGAGUGCGGGAGGGGCAGGCGGAAUUCCUGGUGUAGCGGUGAAAUGCGUAGAUAUCAGGAGGAACACCGGCGGCGAAGGCGGCCUGCUGGGCCGCGACUGACGUUGAGGCUCGAAAGCGUGGGGAGCGAACAGGAUUAGAUACCCCUGUACA